CAUUGAUUAAUUAAUGAAUCAAAGUUGUAUCAUGAUUUGUAUAGGCCUGUAAAAUUUAUUUAAAUUGAAUGCAGAAAAUGCGAAUUUAAAUUGUAACAAAUGAAAAAGAAUGUUCAAUUGAGCCCAUGUCACAAUAGACAAUCGAUUUUCUGCGAAUUGGAUUGCACAUUCGUAAUAAUCGGCAACUCAUACGUCAAACCGAAAACCUAAUCACGUAUUUGUAAUCCCUUAAAUGAAACGCUAUGCACAUUCAUUCAUUUGAUUGAUGCAAAAUGAAAUUGAAUGCUAGUUAUUACGAAAAUGAAGCCAGGAUGUACGUCGUUCUCAAACUCGGCGCCAAAUUGAAUUUAUGUUUUACAAAUUCAAACGCACAUUUUCCGAAAUUGUCCGGGUAAACCUAUACUACAUCAUGCACUACCGGCGCAUGUAAACAAGGCAGUCCGGCCGGCCGAUCUCACCCGUGGCGGUUUUUAUAGAUAGUAAACGUCUCGGUGCUGCAAGGAAAGGCAAACCAGACAAUUCAGCUGAGACCCAGAUUUCUUCACCGAAAAGCUCCGGGCAAAGUUCAAGUUUCUUUUAAUUGCCUAUCUACAUAACUGUGUCAUGCUGCACAUAAACUCAACCAGGAUUUUGAUUUCGAUGAAAACCUCAAUUCAAGGACAAGCUGCAACAGUACAACAAGCAGAACUUCCGUUGGAGGCCUAAGGGAUGAACGUCAGGAAAAGGGAGAUGUUCUGUGACUGACUGUUCAACCCCGAUCAACAACUUAGUUUCAUGAGAAUGUCCCAGCUUGCUGAACUGUUGGAAUCAUGAAAUGAUUUAGAAGCCGAAGGAACUGACCUUGGAUCUUUAUAUCGAACUGAUAAGUUGACAUAUCGGCUUAGAAGAGAAUAUCCACAGGUCUCUUUCCUUGAUAUAUGCAACAUCAUCUACACCGCUACUCUAUCUGCUGGAUGUGUGGUUGAAUCUCUGGGGACUUCAGAGGAGGAUUCAAAACUGAAACUUUGGCUUAGAAAGCAAGACAUACGCUCCAUCCUGUUGUUAUGCCGUUACUGCACAAGAUUUGAUGAGAACUU